UCUACGUUGUGUCCACCACCACCCCCUCGGGUUUGCAUUCACGAUUCGAUGUUUUCUGAGUAAUACUAAAUUAACUCGGUGGUGAUAUGAAAAGGGGAGUUGUAAAUCUACCUCUCUCUCGGCAACAGAUGGCCCGUCCUGCUCUGGGACGAUUGAUGAAAAUAGUAGAGUGGCAGGAUAGAAGGGAGGUCCGGUUACUUCAAUCCAGAAUGUUAUAGUCGGCGUUUCUCUCUGUGGGUCCGGUUACUGCUGCUAGUCGUGGAGAAAUCGUAAAUCUAGUGGCUGAUGUGACGUCAGAAUGUCCUAGACAAAUGGAUUAGAAAUUGCAGAAAGCUACUUAAAGUCAUCCUUUAGUAUUACGAGGCAAUUCCCACAUCCUCCAUCCCUAGCACAAGGUAUCUCGUUACUACAGUAACAUAAUGGGACUGUGUUAUCCAACAACCGUUCACUGUUUCACGGAUACGAUAUCAAAUUCCAUUUGAAAUUCCCAUUAAUUUUCUUCACAAAUUUUUAUUAAUUCAUCUGAACAUCCCGAAAACAGUUAGGACCAAAUUAAAAAAGAAAGAAAAAAAAAGGGCACCACCCGCUGUCAGAAAAGGAAGGUGCGCACUGGCUCAAAAGUUAAUCAUAGUGGCAAAAGUUUCGACUCACUUCACUCGUACAGAUUGACAGGCUGCUGGCCCGCUUUACGGAUCUUCCAGAAAAAAUAGAGGAAGAGAAGAAGAAAAAAGAAGGAUCUGGAAGGGCUCCAAAUCGAAAGUUUUGCUGAUUGGAUUUAGGGACAAGAAAAGGAUAAAAAAACACUUGAAAAGUUGGGAUGAGGCUGUAUAUAAUACCAUAACGUCUAGUAGCAUCAUCAUCAUCAUCAUCGUCAUCUGAACACUACACGUAUUAAGAGCAUCAUCUUAACUCAUCAUCAUCAUCAUAAUUACAGAUGAAUUUCAUUUAUUUCACUUUAAAAUCUCAUUUUUAAAAUUGUUCUUUUUCCAUUUAUAAAAAUGUUAAAAUCGAUUAAAGAAAAAUAAAUUAAACAAAGCGGCAGACAAAAUAUACAAGAAAAAAUGUGAAUAUUUAAUAAUAAAUAUGCAGAAAAAUCUGAUAAAGAUCCGUCAUCAUCCUCCUAUUGAUCAUUAAAACGGGACAUCUCGAAGAUAACCCGCUGAUAAUUUUCCAUCUACUUCGCUUCUACGUCAACAAAAUGUAUAUAAAAUGGCCUUUAUGAACGUGAUUAAAUGUAAUUCAUUCUUUUAAUUGCUUGAUAUACAACUUGAUUUAUAUUUAAAAGCUAAAUAUAACUUUGUAAUUUCCCUUCCUUUUUUUUUAU
rnacentral:lncRNA from 1 species